AUGAGGGCAAUUUGUGCUCUGUACAGCAUCACUAGGCAGGAUAUUCAGAUCAAGAAGUCUUCAUAAAAACCUUGAGUUGUGAAGAAGGAUGUUCUGAUAGAUAGUCUGUCAGAAAAAGAUCUCCAGCUGACAGAACGAGUUCUGCAAGAUGUAAACAGUCAGCUGGUAUUGAUUGUUUUGAAGUGGUUUUAUUUGAGUACAAAAGAUCCCACAGUGGGAAUAUGCUACAUGCUGUUCUGUUUAACCAGGGCUGAUGACUCCAUGUGGAAAGUGGGUGUCCACACUCUCAGCGGCACACAAAAAUAGACUAAAAUGAUUGUGAAAGCACCGUGCGGAAGUAACCACGGAAACGAGGCACAGUGAGGUGGAGCAGGGGCCACACUGAAGGGCAGGUUGAGCAUUCUAGCCAUUUAUAAUACUUGCAGCCGUUGUGCCCGAUUUAAAUGUCAAAUCAUCAGUUAAUGAGAAUUGGUUAAUGAGUCGAAGUUUACAAAUGAUAUUAAUUUGCAGGAACUUCUGUACUAGAUUAUAGGCAUCAGCUGUUUACUGUAAAGUGUGCAUCAGUGUAAAGUUUUUUAGUGAAACUAAAAAAAAAAAUCUUCACUGAACAUUAAAGAUUGAGAAUGUUUAUUUAGGGUGACCAUACAACAAUUGGUCUGCGCAGCGCCAACAAAGCCAAAACGUGGAUAUUUUAGGCAAUAUAAAAAUCCUGGCCAGGACGUGCCCUGGAAAAAUGGCAUGUAUGGUCACCCUCGUUUAUUAUCAUUGCAUGUGCCUGAAACUGACUGCACUAAUUACUGGGUCCAUUAGGUGGCAACACUCACAGUUAAGGUGUUGCUUGCAAAAACUACUCAACGAAGAUGAAAAAUGCCAAAAAACAACAAAGAUGAAGGUGGAAACGACAACAACAGACACAAGACAAGCAGGAGCUCUAGAGGUGAACUCAGUCUAAGAGUCGUCAAUUCCCAAACAAUCAAGGAAAUCUCCAAUGGCCCCUGCUGCCCUGCAAAUCAUCUCCGGAUAAUGUGCCUAAGAGGUGCUGAAGCUGACAGGGAAGGACAUGGAUAAGAAAGCAGCGAUGGAGGAUAAUGAACUCCUCUGUGAGCCCCGGCGAUCAAUGCAAACAUACCUCUGAUUGACUGCGUAGCUACGAGAGCAGAAACUGAAGGGUUUUUUCUUAGAAUUUGCACAUCCCUUGAGAACCUACAGAUGUGCUACCUGGGCCCAGCUAUGAGAAGUGAAUGUCAAAGUGUAUAAUCCACAGUGCAAGAAGUGUAAGCCAAUUAUCUCCCCUCAUAUGCGGUGUUAAGGAGUGGUCCCACUGAAAGCAGAUCAGCCUAGCAGCCUGUUAUCUCAUAUAGAGAGAGGAAUAGCAGAAGAUUGUAGAUCAUCAAUUGACUUGAUUUUUUUACUUGAAAGUGGUAAAAAAUUGUAGAUAAGUUUGAAUGAAUUAUGACAUUGUACAAAAAAAAAAAUUAUCCUUUUUUUUUGGCAUGGCAACAGUUGCUUAGGUAAGACUAAUGAAUAAUGAUUUGUAAGGCAGGGCUUAACAAAGGGUCAUUAUACAGCCAGGGAAAAAGAGAAGGCGAAAGUGGCAUUGUAAUUCUUUGUCGAAGGAAAUUAAAGAUAGGUGCUGCUUGAGUCACCCUGCAGCCUCUGAACGCUCAGAGAGACACAGCAAAACUAAACAAAAAACAAACAAACAAACAAAAAAUAUUAUUGUAAUGCGAACAGUGUUAUUAUCAUCAACUAAAAAAUAAAUAAAUAAAUGAAACUAUUUAGGAAUAAUAAAAAAAAACUAAUAAAAAUGACAAAAGCAAUAAGAAAAACAUAAAACAAAAUGCAACCCCCCCUCAAAAAAACAACAACAACAACAACAACCCAAAUUAAAAAAAAACAAAAAAAUAAAUGGAUUCUCAAAUUGAAAUAAAAACUAAAAUUAAUAAAACUUAAAAUAUUUAUAAAAACCAGUAUGUAUAAUACUAAAAUAACACUAAAUGCGCAUAUUAAUUACUAUUUGAUUU
ensembl:lncRNA